UCAAAAACCUCUCAUUUGACAAUUCAGAUUUCUUGUUCCAAACCCUAAAUUCAACCUCACCUCCUCCACCGAAUCAAACCCUAAAAUCCAAGAUCCUCACUCACCUCCUCCACCGAAUCUCUUCUUAUCUCUUACCAUUGCCAGAUUUGGGGAACCUUCCUCUCCCGCUAGUACCCUGUUACAUCGUCAAGGCCACUGACACCGUCGAUGAUUCAGCGGAUGUCGAACCACUACCCAGUGAUUUUGGUUUCGAGAAUGACGUCCAUGCUAGGGUUUUGAAGAGGAGUCGCGGUUCUCUCCGGAAGAUUGGUAAUGAUAAGAGUUUGUGGGACCGCCUUACGGAUCCUCAAUCUCUUCCGUUUCUCGUCGGUGCUCCAAAGAUGGUUGAAUGCUUUGUAAUUUAUGGGAGCGAGCUGAAUCUAGGAAAAAGGAUGCAAUUGAUUGAGCUAAGGUUCGUGGAGAAGAACCUCCUGCUGAGCUGCUAGCUGAACAAAGGGGUUUGCAUUCUUACUGAUACCUAUCUUCCAAUGGUUUUGAUUCGAAGGUAUUGAAAAUCGGAAAAGAGUUGUAGCAACAUUGUUAGAUCCCGAAAAGUACAGGAUGAACACGGUGUUCUCGAGAUUCUUGCUACUGGAUCUUUGGAUGGAACGGCAAUAAUUAAGUCAAAUUUGUUAUAGAAGCUGUUUGGAAUUCAUCUCAUUUGGCUGCAAAUAUUUCUUACAGGUAAAGCUAAUGAACAAGCAUCACUAAUGGCAAUUUAAAGGGGAUAAGGCAUCAUGUACGAGAACAACAUCUUGAAAUCAGAGCAGAACGAAAUAUAUUUCCAACGGAGAUGAGAAUUUCUCCGAAUAUGUUCAGGUUCGGUACUUGGUCUUUUGACCUUUUGCAAUUCUGCUUUCUCCUCUUCUGCCUUCCUCUGUAUGCUUUUCAACUGUGAAAUUAUACUAUUGUUGGUUGUUGUUGCCUUUGUGUUUUGUUUUUCAAACUUCUGCAUGUGAAUUGGACUUUUUGCUAUUUGGUUCUUGUUGAAGCGGGAGAUUUUUGUGGACUAUACUGAUGAAUCGUCGACCUCGGCUGGUUCCUCGAAAGCUGCUGAGGUGAGUAAUAGAUUUAAAAAACCAGGAUUGUUUAAGGCCCCGAGAUACAAUGACACACGACUUGAUGAUGUAUUUUCUGCCAAGAAGCCGAGGUUUAGAGUUGCGCCUGGGAAGGAAAAUGUAAAGCUUUGAGAAAUCUGCUGCCUCAAGAGAGGUUACAAAAGAUAGUAUGAGCAGCUAUUAAUGUUGAUAGAUCUUUCAAUUUGAGAAAUCUGCUGCCUCAAUUUGAUUUUGCUUUAGUUUUCUUAGUGUUGUUGACCUUUCAAUUGAUAGAUCUUCUGGAAGAGCAGUUAUUGACAUGGGAAAAGCAUUGAAAGGGCUAGCCUCAUUUGAACCACAUGAUGAUAAUGGAGUAGCUACUGAUUCAUCUCAAAGACACGGAGAUUCAGCGCUAACCAUUGCAGGAAGUUCCUUCUCUAAGUGUCAUAUACCUGGCAAGAAGGCUCCUUUGGAUCUUACUCUAAAAACCAGGUAGGCUUCUGAUGGAAAUGAAUUAUAUGCUAGCAUAUGGAUCUGGUGAAGCUUCUUUGAGGUUAUUAUGGAAAUUUGGACUUCUAGAUAUUCUUCUUCCCUUUCAGGUAGUUGAUGAUUCUGCUUUCUAAUUUCUAAAGCUUAAUCAUGGAAUGCUAGCUCAGUUCGCUUUUGACAUU